ACUCAAAGGAAUAGACGGGGGCCCGCACAAGCGGCGGAGCAUGUGGCUUAAUUCGAUGCAACGCGAAGAACCUUACCAAGGCUUGACAUGCGCGGGAAGUCAUCAGAGAUGGUGGCGCCUUCGGGCUCGCGUGCAGGUGGUGCAUGGUUGUCGUCAGCUCGUGUCGUGAGAUGUUGGGUUAAGUCCCGCAACGAGCGCAACCCUCGUUCUGUGUUGCCAGCACGUUAUGGUGGGGACUCACAGGAGACUGCCGGGGUCAACUCGGAGGAAGGUGGGGAUGAGGUCAAAUCAUCAUGCCCCUUAUGUCUUGGGCUGCACACAUGCUACAAUGGCCGGUACAAAGGGCUGCGAUACCGCGAGGUUGAGCGAAUCCCGGAAAGCCGGUCUCAGUUCGGAUUGGGGUCUGCAACUCGACCCCAUGAAGUCGGAGUCGCUAGUAAUCGCAGAUCAGCAACGCUGCGGUGAAUACGUUCCCGGGCCUUGCACACACCGCCCGU
rnacentral:rRNA from 1 species